UGUGGUGAAAGGGGCUGGGUGGAAGAUGAUGAGUUGCAGGCCAGAGGUGAGGGAGGGAUGUUGCUGGUGGACUUGCGGCGGCCCACCUUGGUGUAGCGCUGCGUGCUGAGUUUGGAGCCCAGGCCGUGGAGUGAGCUGGGCCGGAUGUGUGCGGCAGGAGAACUGGGGGAGCUGGAGCAUGGAGAUGUGCUCUGAGGAGAGUUCGUUUCUGGAAAGAAGUGAAGACAGUUUCAAUUACUUCCACAACAAGUUGCAAAAUAUUCUCUCCUGAUCCUUCGACUUAUCUAUGUCGAGGGGCCCUCAACUUUCCACAUCGACAACCCUUAACUCACCAAAGGCCUGAUGGUCGGGUGCAGGGCUACGGCACGGUGUGGAAGGGCCGGGGGAGAGGCUGUGCGUCGGGGAGCCUGGAAGACUUUCGCUGGAGGAAACGGAGUGAUGGAGACCAGAAGAGAAACUGCGGCUGCUGUGAAUCACCGUGCUCUGCUUGGACAGCUUCUUCAAGAUGCUUCGUCGCCUUGGAGAGAAGGAAGAGUCAGAGAUCUGAUCCUGUGUUGUUCAAAUAAAAGAAGACUUGCAACAGAUACAACAUGUAAAACACACAAUGACGAGCUACGCAGUGUGUUUGUGAGUCAAAUCAGUUUUAGAUCUUGUGGAGACACCCACCGACACCAUGUGAUGCACUGUGUAGAAGUCACUGUCGCCCAUGUACACGCGGAUGGCCUGUAGGGUGAAGCCAAACUUCUUCCCAGAGGUGUGGAUGAUGAUGGGCGGCCUCAGGCUGCCAGGGCUGAGGGAAAAGUCCCGGCUGGGUGAUGAGUCACGAGAUGAGGGGUUGGAGGACAGGGAGCGAGGGGAGAUGGGACUUGGCUGCAGGCCCCCGGGGAAGCCUCUGUCUAUCUGGUGUAUCCAGCUGGUUACCGAAGCGCCGAGGGCCGACAGGCUCCUUGGGGGAUGAGUGUUUGGCCCCGGUGCUGUUACUGCGAAUCCUGAUCCUCCGAAGAUUGGAGACGACAACCUCGGCUGCAGGUUACACAGAUUCAAGGGCAAACAUGUGAAAAUGCUCUGGUCACACUUCUAAUAGAAUCACUGGUAAAUGUGAACAGACAUGCAGGGAAACGGAUCAUUCUGGAUUUACCUUCGUCAUCAGUGGAGAGGGCAAAGCGAGGCAUCGUCUCCAGGCUGUGGGUGCUGCUCAUCACCAGAGGGCUGGGGCUCCUCUCAGACUGGGAGGAGCUGGAGGAGGCUCGAGGGCGAAGGCUACAAACAGACCAGUUGGACAAGUGAUCACACCAACGCUCUGUUUUCAAUGACUUGCUGUUUUCACACACAUUCAAGGGAAUGAUCGAUGGACUUGUGAACAAUUCAUUUCCUACAUUUUUCUUAAGGUGUACAACAAUAACACAGAAAAUGUGGAAUCAAGGCGGGUUAUGACGUCUAGGAAGAUGUACUGUGUUUUACUUGUGCCCACCUUGCCAUACGUUCAGCAUGUCUGCGCUCCACACUGCCAUCUGCUGGGCCUGGGGAGAGACUGAAUCCUCCCAUGUCCCUGCGGUCCUCCUUAUCCUCACUGUGGCUACGGUCGGAGGAGAAACUUAGGUUGGAAGGUGUCGCCAGAUGUUCUGUGCUGCUGUAAACCUGUGACGAAAAACAAGGGAGAUGUUUUGAAGAAGAGGGCCUGAGUACUGAAGACCUUGCAGAUGAUUUUUAUGGCAUAGUCAGGAUAUUGGAGGUCUACCUUGUUAGCACUAAAUUAACAUCGGUAAUUUCUUACCUUUCAAAUAUGCCUCAAGUAAACAUUGUAAAUAUACAUAGAAAUAACCCUGCGAGUUUCUUUAGUACCCGUUUCUCUAAACCUCCACGUCCCUUAUCAUCUACCAGUCCUUACCUUGCUGAAGCGAUGCGACCAGGAAGAAAACUGUCUGAUUUCCAAGGAAGACUCUUCGUCGUUGGUUUCCUCAUCCUCAUCAGACGCCAAGUGAUGGUAGCGUUCUGAUCGAGCUGAAGACAGAUACAAAAAAUGAAGCUCGAAAUCUUUUACAAAUAGAGUCUUUAGUAGUUUUAUCUAUGAUUCAUUGUGUGUUAUGUUGUCAAUCAGCCACUGCAGAAAAUGCUGCACAAUGGCGCUGCUUGUUUUAUUUGCACGAGAAAUCCCUCAUUAAGUCUGUAGUCAGGUUGCAGUAUUAAUUGGAAGACAUUAUAUAUCAUCUCAACUGUAACCUACUGUCGAAGUAGCUGGUGUCGUCCUCUGCUUCCAGCUGAGGGAUGAAUUCAGCUUUCUGCCGCAGGAGACCAUUCCAGUCCAGGCCCAGGAAGAAGGGGUGAUGCUUGACUUCUGGAGCUCCACCUGCAAACACAGUUUUCACCGUCAGUUGAACAAUGGAUCAUGAUCGGUGAUAAAUAUUGUAUAAAAUGCCCUCUCAUACAUCAUGUGUUUCUUUUUCCAAUUGCUAUCAAUUCUAAAUUUUGCUUUUCUCUAAGUUCUUUAUAAAGUUUAAUAUAGGUCUUAAUGUGUUGAAGAGGGAGUCACUAUUUUAUCUUCCCACCAGCUACAUAUAUCUUGCAUUGGAUUUAGAUUUUUGGAUAAAACGCCCUCAGCCGUACCGGUUCCCAGUCGGUCUAAGGGACUCUGCCUCAGCAGGCGGGUAAUCAGGUCCUGGGCCUCAGACGGUAAAGCAUCUUCUCCAUCAGGCCAAAUUAUGUCAUCUGCAAAUCACACAAAUAUAAGUACGUGAGAGGAGCAAAAACUAAGGAGCAGUAAAUAACAAUAAAACAGCUUAUGCAUAUGUAAAGGUCUUAUCAUACUGUUUGCAGCAUGUUUGGAAAUCUAUACAGAAUCCAGCUGGCAAUGACACAUUUCUUUUAAUUUAUAUGAAUUUAUUUUAAACAUUUUAAGUAAUAAAUAAAACUAAUUAAUUACAUUAGCUAACACUGCAAUAUCAACUACAUUCUGUGAUAAUGGGAACAUUUUAUAUUAGAAAAACAUAGAUCUCAGCUUCUGUUUUCUACGUUUGACAUCACAUGUCUAGUAACCCUGGUAAAUUUUUUCUCGAGGCUUGUCAACUCAUCACUCACCACUGACCACCUGACCGAAAAGUUCCUCAGGCGUGUCUCCAAAGAACGGGACACAGCCGACCAGGAAUUCAUAGAGGAUGACCCCCAUCGCCCACCAGUCCACAGGCUUCCCGUAGCCCUGUCUGAGGAUCACCUCCGGGGCGAUGUACUCUGGAGUGCCACAAACCUGCGAAAAGAAA